rnacentral:rRNA from 1 species
CCUACGUGUGGCUGCAGUGGGGAAUAUUGGACAAUGGGCGAAAGCCUGAUCCAGCCAUGCCGCGUGUGUGAAGAAGGCCUUCGGGUUGUAAAGCACUUUCAGUGGGGAAGAAAGCCUUGGGGCUAAUACCCUCGAGGAAGGACAUCACCCACAGAAGAAGCACCGGCUAACUCCGUGCCAGCAGCCGCGGUAAUACGGAUGGUGCGAGCGUUAAUCGGAAUUACUGGGCGUAAAGCGCGCGUAGGCGGUCUGAUAAGCCGGUUGUGAAAGCCCCGGGCUCAACCUGGGAACGGCAUCCGGAACUGUCAGGCUAGAGUGCAGGAGAGGAAGGUAGAAUUCCCGGUGUAGCGGUGAAAUGCGUAGAGAUCGGGAGGAAUACCAGUGGCGAAGGCGGCCUUCUGGACUGACACUGACGCUGAGGUGCGAAAGCGUGGGUAGCAAACAGGAUUAGAUACCCCUGUAGUC